UACAGAGGGUGCGAGCGUUAAUCGGAAUUACUGGGCGUAAAGCGUGCGCAGGCGGUUUGUUAAGUCUGCUGUGAAAUCCCCGAGCUCAACUUGGGAAUUGCAGUGGAUACUGGCAGGCUGGAGUAUGGUAGAGGAAGGUGGAAUUCCCGGUGUAGCAGUGAAAUGCGUAGAUAUCAAGUGGAACACCAGUGGCGAAGGCGAGUCUCUGGACAUUUCCUGACGCUGAGGCACGAAAGCCAGGGGAGCAAACGGG
rnacentral:rRNA from 1 species